AAACUCCUGGCUGAGAUCAUUACAGGGUGGAGAAGCGCGCAGCUCUACGCAGUGGAUGUGACUCUGGAUCCCAGCACAGCAAAUCCCUACCUCGUCCUGGC